rnacentral:rRNA from 1 species
UACGUAGGGGGCAAGCGUUGUCCGGAAUCAUUGGGCGUAAAGGGCGCGUAGGCGGUCGCGACAAGUCACUUGUGAAAUCUCCGGGCUUAACUCGGAACGGUCAAGUGAUACUGUCGGACUAGAGUACAGAAGGGGCAACUGGAAUUCUCGGUGUAGCGGUGAAAUGCGUAGAUAUCGAGAGGAACACCUGCGGCGAAGGCGGGUUGCUGGGCUGAUACUGACGCUGAGGCGCGAAAGCCAGGGGAGCGAACGGG